UACGUAAGGGGCUAGCGUUGUCCGGAAUCAUUGGGCGUAAAGAGCGUGUAGGCGGCCAAACAGGUCCGUUGUGAAAACUGGAGGCUCAACCUCCAGACGUCGACGGAAACCGUGUGGCUAGAGUCCGGAAGAGGAGAGUGGAAUUCCUGGUGUAGCGGUGAAAUGCGCAGAUAUCAGGAAGAACACCAAUGGCGAAGGCAGCUCUCUGGGACGGUACUGACGCUGAGACGCGAAAGCGUGGGGAGCGAACAGG
rnacentral:rRNA from 1 species